GCCUUCGUGGUGUAGUGGUCAGCACGCUAGGGCGCGUAUUCCAGAGGUCCGUGGUUCGAGUCCCGGCGAAGGCG
rnacentral:tRNA from 1 species